AACAGUACACAAGUCUUACACAAUGUGUUAAGGGUCACGUUCCUGCUUCUCCUCCUGCUGUGCGGACUGAGUGCAUGGCGGAGCACAUCAACAGGUGUUCCCUCUCCGCUGCGGGUGUGCCUCUGCAAGAGAUCUGCAAUCAACACACCUGCCGGUGAUGAGCUACCAGCCUUCAUAAGCCAGCGCGUCUUAAGAUCCGGUGCCAGAACGUAGUUUCUCCUACCAGUACACUUCCUCUUCGUCUACCUGGACCCCCUUUGGAUUCCCUCUUGCCUCCCUGGACCAAGACCUCGCUCCUGCCCUCUGACGUCCAAGCCUUUUUCUUCUUUUGGACUUCCACCUCUAUCUCAACACGCACACUCAACACCCUCUGGUGACCACGCUCAGAUAAUACUUACACAUAGUCACACUCCAUCUCUUUAAAGUAAUCACACACUGCACUCACAUGCUGAGUUGUCAAUAAACACGCUGGCAGCUAA